GGGAGGCGCGCAUACCAUGCUAGUCGAACGAAUUCUCUUCCCUUAGUGAGCUGGCGCACGGGUGCCUCACGCGAGUCAAUCUGCCCCUUGGUUCGGAAUACCAGCAAUUAAUUGCUGCUCCUACCGAAUGAUGACGUCCGUCCAUUUAUUUAUCACCGAUGAAUCAGCCCGCGUAUGAUUAGGUAGUUGGUGUGGUAAACGCCCACCAAACCAACCAUCCUUAGCUGGACUGAAAGGAUGAUCACCCUCGCUGUGACUGACACACCGCCCUCACUCCUACGGGAGGCAUCAGUGGUAAAUAUUGAACAAUGAGCGAAAGCCUGAUCCAUCCCUGCCGCGUGAUUGAUGACUGCCUUAUGGUUGUCACGCUCUUUUACCCGGAAUGAUACUGACCCUACCGAGAGAAUUACCUCCAGCUAACUCCCUGCCACCACCCUCGUUAAUACGGAGGGAGCUAUCUUUAUUCUUACUUACUGGGCGUAAAGCGCACGUAGGCUGCUUUGUAAGAAAUAAGUGAAAGCCCCUAGCUCCUCUCUGGAAUUGCCUUUUAGACUGCCUCGCUUGAUUCAUGGAUAGGUCAAUGUAAUUCCGAGUGUAUAAGUGACAUUCAUAUACAUUCGAACAACCACCGCUGGCGAAGGCGACUGACUGUACAUGUAUUGUCACUGACGUGCGAAAGCGUGGCGAGCAAACUUGAUUACAUACCCUGGUAGUCCACGCCGCAAACAAUGAUAACUAUCUGUUCACUCACUUGCUGCUUGACUGGCCCAACUCACUCAUUAAUUUAUCCGCCUGGUGAGUACGGCCGCUAGGUUCUCACUCGAAUGAAUUGACGGCUGCCUGCACAAGCGAUG
rnacentral:rRNA from 1 species